rnacentral:rRNA from 1 species
UACAGAGGGUGCGAGCGUUAAUCGGAAUUACUGGGCGUAAAGGGUGCGUAGGUGGUUAGAUAAGUUGGAUGUGAAAUACUCGGGCUUAACCUGGGAACUGCAUUCAAUACUGUUUAGCUAGAGUCUUGUAGAGGGAGGUGGAAUUUCCGGUGUAGCGGUGAAAUGCGUAGAUAUCGGAAGGAACAUCAGUGGCGAAGGCGACCUCCUGGACAAGUACUGACACUGAGGCACGAAAGCAUGGGGAGCAAAC